CUAUAUAUGACGAGUCCCAAAUAGGACGAAACGCGCGUCCUGGAU
rfam:Schistosoma rodhaini strain Burundi genome assembly, scaffold: SROB_scaffold0006359